rnacentral:piRNA from 1 species
UGAUGUUGUGCCAGAACUUUCCAACUUCCC